UACCAAGACGAUGAUGUGUAGCUGGACUGAGAGGUCGAACAGCCACAUUGGGACUGAGACACGGCCCAAACUCCUACGGGAGGCAGCAGUAGGGAAUUUUCGGCAAUGGAGGAAACUCUGACCGAGCAACGCCGCGUGAACGAUGAAGUAUUUCGGUAUGUAAAGUUCUUUUAUUGAAGAAGAAAAAAUAGUGGAAAAACUAUCUUGACGUUAUUCAAUGAAUAAGCCCCGGCUAACUAUGUGCCAGCAGCCGCGGUAAGACAUAGGGGGCGAGCGUUAUCCGGAAUUAUUGGGCGUAAAGGGUGCGUAGGCGGUUAGGAAAGUCUAUAAUUUAAUUUCAGUGCUUAACGCUGUCUUGUUAUAGAAACUACCUUGACUAGAGUUAGAUAGAGGCAAGCGGAAUUCCAUGUGUAGCGGUAAAAUGUGUAAAUAUAUGGAGGAACACCAGAAGCGUAGGCGGCUUGCUGGGUCUUGACUGACGCUGAGGCACGAAAGCGUGGGUAGCAAACAGGAUUAGAUACCCUGGUAGUCCACGCCGUAAACGAUGAGUACUAAGUGUCGGGAUAAAACUCGGUACUGAAGUUAACACAUUAAGUACUCCGCCUGAGUAGUACGUACGCAAGUAUGAAACUUAAAGGAAUUGACGGGACUCCGCACAAGCGGUGGAUCAUGUUGUUUAAUUCGAAGAUACACGAAAAAUCUUACCAGGUCUUGACAUGCUCUGCAAAGCUAUAGAAAUAUAGUGGAGGUUAUCAGGGACACAGGUGGUGCAUGGUUGUCGUCAGUUCGUGUCGUGAGAUGUUAGGUUAAGUCCUAAAACGAGCGCAACCCUUGUCGUUAGUUACCAGCACGUAAUGGUGGGCACUUUAACGAGACUGCCAAUUAAACAUUGGAGGAAGGUGAGGAUUACGUCAAAUCAUCAUGCCCCUUAUGAUCUGGGCUACAAACGUGAUACAAUGGCUGUUACAAAGAGUAGCUGAAGCGCGAGUUUUUAGCCAAUCUCAAAAAAGCAGUCUCAGUUCGG
rnacentral:rRNA from 1 species